rnacentral:lncRNA from 1 species
CUAGUUAUAAGCUCACAAAUGAUUUCAAGAGAGAACAAAUCUGCAACGAAACAUAAAUUUCAAGAUCAACAAAUACAUAGUUGUUGAUGCAGUAAUAAAUGGGUGCAGCCAUAACAUAAAAUGUGUCUUCUGAUUUAGUUUCUAAUGCAAUAUUGUUUUGUUGGAUCAGGAAAAUAUGUCAUUGGUAUAAAUUAUAGCCUAUUUCUACAGUCAUCCGGACGCGGCAAUCGGUAAAGCUAGUCUGUAAAAGAUUUCUUUAUCUACAACACCAAACUAUGCAGAAAAACUGCACAUAGUGCAGCUGAUACCCACCAAACAUAUCCAUCAAAAAAUCAUCUUAGAUCACUUAAAGGCUUCAACAGCUACAUUCAGCUUUUAUCUCGGUAGAAAGUUCACUAUCAAAUCAAUAUCCAACCAGAUCAUUUUCCCGGAUCAGAAUGUCUUCCAGCGACAUUACUAAAACUCCAGCAGUCAACAAUGAACUAGUUUCUUCAGUAUUUAUCAUCAAUCAUAACUUCGAGACUACCUAAAAGUUCAUGGAACGCACUCUCCUCAGAAUCCUUGGAGGUCUCUUCCCCUCUACCACUGGAAUCAAGUUCUCCAUGAGCUGCACGUAAAAUAGAAACAAAAGAAAUGGGAAAAGAAUGUUAAAGAUGCAGUAAAGAAUUCAAUAUAUGUUGGUUGAAAUGAAUAGAAGUAGAAUCGACUUCCAUGAUAGAAUUGCAUAUGUGAGUACCCAAGUAUGGGGCUUCAGGAGACACUGACAUCUCAUCCGUCAAGAUAAAAUUCAAAAAUCAGGUGCCAAUCUUAAAGGCCGGAUAAUUAUAUUUCACAUUCUAGGAGAUUUUUUAUUUCUAAGAGUCACAAUUCAGAUCCAUUGUUACAAAGGAUUGUGAGAUUACAGAAAUGAUACAGUGCACGACCUUAGAAACAAUCAGCCUUUUGUAC